UGGGGGAUAUUGCACAAUGGGCGAAAGCCUGAUGCAGCGACGCCGCGUGGGGGAUGAAGGCCUUCGGGUUGUAAACUUCUUUUGCUCUGAACAAGGCAUGCUAAUGGGUGUGUUGAGUGUAGGGGUUGAUUAGCGCCGGCUAACUACGUGCCAGCAGCCGCGGUAAUACGUAGGGCGCGAGCGUUGUCCGGAAUUAUUGGGCGUAAAGGGCUUGUAGGUGGCUGGUUGCGUCUGUCGUGAAAGCUCAUGGCUUAACUGUGGGUUUGCGGUGGGUACGGGCUGGUUUGAGUGCAGUAGGGGAGGCUGGAAUUCCUAGUGUAGCGGUGGAAUGCGCAGAUAUCAGGAGGAAUACCGGUGGCGAAGGCGGGUCUCUGGGCUGUUACUGACACUGAGGAGCGAAAGCAUGGGGAGCGAACAGG
rnacentral:rRNA from 1 species